GCACAAGCGGUGGAGCAUGUGGUUUAAUUCGACGCGACGCGAAGAACCUUACCUGGGCUCGAAAUGUAGUGGAAUCCGGUGGAAACAUCGGCGUCUAGCAAUAGACCGCUAUAUAGGUGCUGCAUGGCUGUCGUCAGCUCGUGUCGUGAGAUGUUGGGUUAAGUCCCGCAACGAGCGCAACCCUUAUUACCAGUUGCUACCAUUUAGUUGAGCACUCUGGUGAGACCGCCUCGGAUAACGGGGAGGAAGGCGGGGAUGACGUCAAGUCCUCAUGGCCUUUAUGUCCAGGGCUACACACGUGCUACAAUGGCGGUGACAGCGGGAGGCGAAGGGGCGACCCUUAGCAAAUCUCGAAAAGCCGUCUCAGUUCGGAUUGCACUCUGCAACUCGAGUGCAUGAAGUUGGAAUCGCUAGUAAUCGCGGAUCAGCACGCCGCGGUGAAUACGUUCCCGGGC
rnacentral:rRNA from 1 species